UUUUCCUCAGGAAACUUCAUGCAUUGCUGGUGAUACAUGACCACCGACACACAGACCGAGGGAGCCAACAUCAAUUCAUGUGCCUGGUGAAUCCUGACUCAGACUGCACAGCAAAAUCACCUGGAGGACGUCUAUUGAAUCAGAAUCUCUGGGAUGAAGCCUGGGGAUCUUUAUUUCUAUUUAACAUGGACCUCAGUGGCAAUCUUUUGCAAUCCUUGGGCUGACCUUAGAAAAUUGUUGCUUACACUGUGUAGUCCUUAAAUCAAGCAAUGCAUUUGACUCAGCUUUGUAUCCUAAGCCAGUGUAGUAUUGGUCUACAGGAUGCACUCAAUACAUGUCAAUGGACCAAAAAUGAACUGAUUAUAACUUCCUGCCUAUAGCUUUCAAAUUCUUAAUUUAACAGAGGAAAGGGGCAGGAUAUAAAGGGGGGGAGGGAUGUUAAUUGUGGAAUUUCUAGCAGCAGUUCAAUAGAUGUUUGAGGGCAAAGCAGUCUUCCUAAUGAUUGUCAGUAUGACCCAUAAAUAAGACCUUUGCAUAAAGGAGGGAGUCUCUCUCCCCAAGCUAACUAGGACCUCGCACCCUUGGAUUACAGAUUGUAUGAACUGAGUAGGGGAGCCAUCCCAGUCUUGUACGUGCACAUGGGCUUCCUCUCACCCUUUCCAGGAUACAGAGUCUCAGCAAGUGUUAACUGAUCACCAGUCGGUGGGAUAGCUUAUUGCUACUGAUCAAGAUAUAAAAAGCAUUAAAACAUCAGAAAGUGAGCUCUUUCCUGUCAUACUUCAGAUAAUUUAAACUAAGAGCUGUCAGUAGUUCUUUGCUGUCUUCUUCUCUGUUUAAGAGCAGAGAAGUUUCACAAACAAUAGCAGAGAAUUUGCUGCUCUAAUACAAUGAAAUCAAAGAAAGCUUGAGAGUACUGGCAACUCCCAAGAUCCCUCUCAGAGGAGCUCAAAAGCACUCUGAGAAUAUUAGCUAUUGGGACCAUCAAUAACGGUCAAAUCUUCAUAUCUAGUCAGAUUCUUUAAUUGCUUCUCUGGGGCAUCAUUGACUUUCUGCUUCAUCACACACUGUAAAAUUAUAAAUUCCUUGAAGGUCGGGUAUAUGUCUCGUUCCCUUUUGUACUUGUCUUAUGGUUUUGCCCAAUAGAGUGACCAACAUGUUAAACUUAUUAAUAUAAUAUCUUUGUUGUAACUUUUAUUUUAUUGUUUUAAUUAUAAAGGUAAUAUGAACUUCUAAAAAA